GCCACAGGCAGCCGACCUGGACUGGAAUCUCUGAAAGAGACGCCGCAGGAGAUUCCAGGGUGUAAAAGAACAGCCCUCCCAAGAGCAGAAGCAUGUUGGAAAUUCUGGACAAGCUGUAUACAGGAUAAUCUCCCUUCCACCUCUCCCCCUCCUCUGAACAUUAUACACAGAAGUGGCCAGUCUGGACGUACCUGUAUAAUCAGAAAAAACUGAUGCCAGCUGAACAGCAUUCAACGUAUCGUGCAUUUACUGGCACAACAGAAAUUAUGUUUUGUGUUCUAUGUCCUGUCUUGUGGUGUUUGUCUCGUGGCCAAAAUUGUUGUGUUUAAUAUUUUUAUAGGAUAGUCUAGUUAAAAUUAAAUAGAAGGGUUAAAUGCAGAUACUUGUUUUAUUCAACUUUGGAAUACAAGGUGUUUGGAUAAAUCAGGAGAAUGUGAUACACUAAAGUCUAAUGCAUUUGCUUAAGUAAGAAAAAGAAGCUUCAUUGGCCAAAUUGUUAAUUAAAGAAAUUGUUGUUAUAAUUUGCAUGCCAACGGUCUUUGAAAGCAAAGACAUGAAAAGUUAACCCACUCCCCAUAUUGUACAUGGGAUCUUUCUGGCUACCUCAAAUUUCUAGCCAGAGGGCUGGGGAUGGUGGAAGGCUAUUGGACUAGAGGUUGAAUUGAAUGAACUCCUCAAAGUGGGUGUGCUUGUUUUAGCUCGUUGCUCCAAAGUUUUGUAAUAAGGUUAUUUUAGUAAAAGAGUAUGUGUGGCAUAUAUUAAAUAAUAAGACUAAUGUACUGUAUAAUGGCAAUGUUUACGUGUUCGUUGUUGGGCAAAGGUGUAUGAGUGAAGAGUGAAAGUUUCCUUUGCAGGUUAAAAGAAGCCAAAAAGGGAGAUGAAAAAAAGAACAGAA